UGGCGUCGGCCGGCCGUGGGCUCUCCGCCCAUUCCAGUAUCGUGAGGAUUGGGGAUUUAUUCCCCUAGUCUCUCUCCUUACAUGUUCAGUGGUAGACCAGGCUGACUGUCAUCCAUACAUGGCCCAUGUGCCAUGUGCAUGCAGUGAAAAUCUGGCUGUAGCACUCGAUCAUUUACCUAAUUUGCUUUUAUUAGCAUAUAGCAGAUUUAACAAUAGUUCUAGCAGAAUGUGAGUGUGGUUUGCCUCACCAUUCUUUAUAUAAUACUAACAAUUUGGAACAACAACUAUGCAUCAAAUCUUGAUGUAAGUUC
rnacentral:lncRNA from 1 species